rnacentral:rRNA from 1 species
UACGGUAGGGUGCAAGCGUUGUCCGGAAUUAUUGGGCGUAAAGAGCUCGUAGGCGGUCUGUCGCGUCUGCUGUGAAAACCCGAGGCUCAACCUCGGGCCUGCAGUGGGUACGGGCAGACUAGAGUGCAGUAGGGGAGACUGGAAUUCCUGGUGUAGCGGUGAAAUGCGCAGAUAUCAGGAGGAACACCGAUGCGAAGGCAGGUCUCUGGGCUGUAACUGACGUGAGGAGCGAAAGCAUGGGGAGCGAACAGG